rnacentral:tRNA from 2 species
GCAUGUGUGGUGUAGUGGUUAUCACGCGUCCUUCACACGGACGGGUCCCGAGUUCGAUCCUCGGCAGAUGCA